rnacentral:rRNA from 1 species
CAAUCCUACGGGACGCAGCAGUGGGGAAUAUUGCACAAGGGGGGAAACCCUGAUGCAGCAACGCCGCGUGAAGGAAGACGGUUUUCGGAUUGUAAACUUCUUUUCUUAGUGAAGAAGCAAGUGACGGUAGCUAAGGAAUAAGCAUCGGCUAACUACGUGCCAGCAGCCGCGGUAAUACGUAGGAUGCGAGCGUUAUCCGGAAUUACUGGGUGUAAAGGGAGCGCAGGCGGGACUGCAAGUUUGAUUUGAAAAACCGCAGCUUAACUGCGGAGCUGCAUCCAAAACUGGAGUUCUUGAGUGGUGUA